rnacentral:rRNA from 1 species
GAUGAACGCUGGCGGCGUGCCUAAUACAUGCAAGUCGAGCGAACAGACGAGGAGCUUGCUCCUCUGACGUUAGCGGCGGACGGGUGAGUAACACGUGGAUAACCUACCUAUAAGACUGGGAUAACUUCGGGAAACCGGAGCUAAUACCGGAUAAUAUAUUGAACCGCAUGGUUCAAUAGUGAAAGACGGUUUUGCUGUCACUUCUAGAUGGAUCCGCGCCGCAUUAGCUAGUUGGUAAGGUAACGGCUUACCAAGGCAACGAUGCGUAGCCGACCUGGGAGGGUGAUCGGCCACACUGGAACUGAGACACGGUCCAGACUCCUACGGGAGGCAGCAGUAGGGAAUCUUCCGCAAUGGGCGAAAGCCUGACGGAGCAACGCCGCGUGAGUGAUGAAGGUCUUCGGAUCGUAAAACUCUGUUAUUAGGGAAGAACAAAUGUGUAAGUAACUAUGCACGUCUUGACGGUACCUAAUCAGAAAGCCACGGCUAACUACGUG